AGAUUGAACGCUGGCGACAGGCCUAACACAUGCAAGUCGAGCGGCAGCACGGGUACUUGUACCUGGUGGCGAGCGGCGGACGGGUGAGUAAUGCCUAGGAAUCUGCCUGGUAGUGGGGGAUAACGCUCGGAAACGGACGCUAAUACCGCAUACGUCCUACGGGAGAAAGCAGGGGACCUUCGGGCCUUGCGCUAUCAGAUGAGCCUAGGUCGGAUUAGCUAGUUGGUGGGGUAAUGGCUCACCAAGGCGACGAUCCGUAACUGGUCUGAGAGGAUGAUCAGUCACACUGGAACUGAGACACGGUCCAGACUCCGUACGGGAGCAGCAGUGGGGAAUAGUUGGACAAGUGGGG
rnacentral:rRNA from 1 species